UAUGUUAUUAUUAUAAUUUUUUAUUAAAGUACCACAAUGUAUAGUAUUAUACUUGUAUUAUUGUCUAUUAUUUGAUUAUUCAUAUUGCUAUUGAAUAAUAUUAUAAUCAUGGUCAAAUAAUUAAGGUUAACAAUAAUAAUAAUAAUUAUAAUUACAAAUAUUUGAGAGGUGUUGAAGCGACUGUGUUGAGAAGAAAGGAGAAGAAAGGAGAAGUAAUGAGAAGAAAUUUGAGAGGUGUUGAAGCUACUGUGACUUUGAACAUUUUUUUCUCUUUCUUCUAGUAACAUUCAAAUAAAUGAAAGGUGAAGAAAGCUGAAGAAAUGAAUGAAGGAGUUGUUGUUAGCAAUAAAUGUUCAGCUUAUUUUCAUUGAUUAGGAAAAGGAGAAUCAGGCCCAUAAUCAAGCCCUUUACAAUGAAAGUUCACUGCCUUUUGCUCAGCUUAGAUUAGUAACUACUAGUAUUUUAUAAAAUUAAUUUUUUGAUUUUCUACUAGUGUUUUAUAAAAUUAAAACAACACUAUUAGAUAUAUUAGUGAUGAAAGUUAUGUAUAGGCAAAUAUAUAAAUAGUAAUUUUUUUGUUAAAUUAAUUAUCAUAAGAGAUAAUUAAUAAUCAUUAUUUUUUAAAGGACAAUUAUAAUAAUUAUUAUUCCAUAAAAAAUUUUGAGGGGUAGUAUUUACGUUAGUGGUAAUAUUUAUGUUAUUCAUGGUCAAUGUUUUUGUCUAAUAAGGUCAAAUAAGUUUCAAUCAGGUUCAAUAAGGUCUAAUAAGUUUCAAUCAGGUCCAAUAAGGUCUAAUAAGUUUCAAUCAGGGUCAAUAAGUUCCAAUAAGGUCCAAUAAGGUCAAUCAGGUUCAAUCAGGUCCAAUAAGUUGAAUCAGGUCCAAUCAGGUCCAAUCAGGUUUAAUAAGUUCCAAUAAGUUCAGUUCAGGUUCAAUAAGUUUAGUUCAGAUAAGUUCCAAUAAGUUCAGGUCCAAUAAGUUGAAUAGAACGCACCCUUAGCCUAUUAACAAUAUUCGAUUUGGUUUUCGAUAGUGAAGUUUCGGAUGGAUUAUCCAUAUAUCCGAAUUAAAUAUUUGGGGUUUCAAAUAGUUUUAUAAGCCUAAUUAUAACUCAUUAUGUAGCAAAAUUCCUUGGUUUUGCAACCAAUCUCAUUUGUUAAAAAAAAAAAGUAGCAAAUAUUAUGAGAAGAAAAAGUGUAAACUAAUUUUUGUA